rnacentral:rRNA from 1 species
AGUGAACGCUGGCGGUAGGCCUAACACAUGCAAGUCGAACGGCAGCACAGUAAGAGCUUGCUCUUACGGGUGGCGAGUGGCGGACGGGUGAGGAAUACAUCGGAAUCUACUUUUUCGUGGGGGAUAACGUAGGGAAACUUACGCUAAUACCGCAUACGACCUACGGGUGAAAGCAGGGGAUCUUCGGACCUUUCGCGAUUGAAUGAGCCGAUGUCGGAUUAGCUAGUUGGCGGGGUAAAGGCCCACCAAGGCGACGAUCCGUAGCUGGUCUGAGAGGAUGAGCAGCCACACUGGAACUGAGACACGGUCCAGACUCCUACGGGAGGCAGCAGUGGGGAAUAUUGGACAAUGGGCGCAAGCCUGAUCCAGCCAUACCGCGUGGGUGAAGAAGGCCUUCGGGUUGUAAAGCCCUUUUGUUGGGAAAGAAAAGCAGCAGGUUAAUACCCCGCUGUUCUGACGGUACCCAAAGAAUAAGCACCGGCUAACUUCGUG